rfam:Aureobasidium pullulans var. melanogenum CBS 110374 unplaced genomic scaffold scaffold_3, whole genome shotgun sequence.
GUCGCGGUGGUGUAGUGGUAACAUUCUCGCCUUCCAAGCGUGAGCGGUGGGUUCGAUUCCCGCCCGCGACA